rnacentral:misc_RNA from 1 species
AACGCAAAUUGCACUCUCUGGCAACCCGGGGAGUAUGCCUGUUUGAGGGUCAGUAUAAUUAAAAAUCGGAGUGCGUUGCAUUUUGUGACCUUUCCGGAGUUUGAGUUAUCUUAACCUUUUUAGGUUAAGAGGCUUAAAAUUGAUUAUCUUUUGCGCAUUUUUAGACGUACAUAAAAAAUUUUUAUUCGCCUAUUUUUAAUGCCAAAUUUAUUAGAUGCGACCACAAUGUAUAUAUGGUUACGUGUCUAUAAUUUUUUUCAUGAUUUGACCUCAAAUCAGGUAGGAGUACCCGCUGAACUUAA